rnacentral:rRNA from 1 species
UAACCUUGCGGCCAUACUCCCCAGGCGGUCUACUUAAUGCGUUAGCUUGAGAGCCCAGUGUUCAAGACACCAAACUCCGAGUAGACAUCGUUUACGGCGUGGACUACCAGGGUAUCUAAUCCUGUUUGCUCCCCACGCUUUCGUGCCUGAGCGUCAGUCUUUGUCCAGGGGGCCGCCUUCGCCACCGGUAUUCCUCCAGAUCUCUACGCAUUUCACCGCUACACCUGGAAUUCUACCCCCCUCUACAAGACUCUAGUUCGCCAGUUCGAAAUGCAAUUCCCAGGUUGAGCCCGGGGCUUUCACAUCUCGCUUAACAAACCGCCUGCGCACGCUUUACGCCCAGUAAUUCCGAUUAACGCUCGGACCCUCCGUAUUACCGCGGCUGCUGGCACGGAGUUAGCCGGUCCUUCUUCUGUAGGUAACGUCACAGCAACAGCGUAUUAAGCUGCUACCUUUCCUCCCUACUGAGAGUGCUUUACAACCCGAAGGCCUUCUUCACACACGCGGCAUGGCUGCAUCAGGGUUUCCCCCAUUGUGCAGUAUUCCCCA